UUCUGUAAGCCUGUGAAGGUGAGUUGAGAAGCUUGCUGGAGGUAUCAGAAGUGCGAAUGCUGACAUGAGUAACGACAAUGGGUGUGAAAAACACCCACGCCGAAAGACCAAGGGUUCCUGCGCAACGUUAAUCGACGCAGGGUUAGUCGGUUCCUAAGGCGAGGCUGAAAAGCGUAGUCGAUGGGAAACAGGUUAAUAUUCCUGUACUUCUGGUUACUGCGAUGGAGGGACGGAGAAGGCUAGGCCAGCUUGGCGUUGGUUGUCCAAGUUUAAGGUGGUAGGCUGAAAUCUUAGGUAAAUCCGGGGUUUCAAGGCCGAGAGCUGAUGACGAGUCGUCUUUUAGAUGACGAAGUGGUUGAUGCCAUGCUUCCAAGAAAAGCUUCUAAGCUUCAGGUAACCAGGAACCGUACCCCAAACCGACACAGGUGGUCGGGUAGAGAAUACCAAGGCGCUUGAGAGAACUCGGGUGAAGGAACUAGGCAAAAUGGCACCGUAACUUCGGGAGAAGGUGCGCCGGCUAGGGUGAAGGAUUUACUCCGUAAGCUCUGGCUGGUCGAAGAUACCAGGCCGCUGCGACUGUUUAUUAAAAACACAGCACUCUGCAAACACGAAAGUGGACGUAUAGGGUGUGACGCCUGCCCGGUGCCGGAAGGUUAAUUGAUGGGGUUAGCGCAAGCGAAGCUCUUGAUCGAAGCCCCGGUAAACGGCGGCCGUAACUAUAACGGUCCUAAGGUAGCGAAAUUCCUUGUCGGGUAAGUUCCGACCUGCACGAAUGGCGUAACGAUGGCGGCGCUGUCUCCACCCGAGACUCAGUGAAAUUGAAAUCGCUGUGAAGAUGCAGUGUAUCCGCGGCUAGACGGAAAGACCCCGUGAACCUUUACUGUAGCUUUGCACUGGACUUUGAGCCUGCUUGUGUAGGAUAGGUGGGAGGCUUUGAAGCGUGGACGCCAGUUCGCGUGGAGCCAUCCUUGAAAUACCACCCUGGCAUGCUUGAGGUUCUAACUCUGGUCCGUGAUCCGGAUCGAGGACAGUGUAUGGUGGGCAGUUUGACUGGGGCGGUCUCCUCCUAAAGAGUAACGGAGGAGUACGAAGGUGCGCUCAGACCGGUCGGAAAUCGGUCGCAGAGUAUAAAGGCAAAAGCGCGCUUGACUGCGAGACAGACACGUCGAGCAGGUACGAAAGUAGGUCUUAGUGAUCCGGUGGUUCUGUAUGGAAGGGCCAUCGCUCAACGGAUAAAAGGUACUCCGGGGAUAACAGGCUGAUACCGCCCAAGAGUUCAUAUCGACGGCGGUGUUUGGCACCUCGAUGUCGGCUCAUCACAUCCUGGGGCUGAAGCCGGUCCCAAGGGUAUGGCUGUUCGCCAUUUAAAGUGGUACGCGAGCUGGGUUUAGAACGUCGUGAGACAGUUCGGUCCCUAUCUGCCGUGGACGUUUGAGAUUUGAGAGGGGCUGCUCCUAGUACGAGAGGACCGGAGUGGACGAACCUCUGGUGUUCCGGUUGUCACGCCAGUGGCAUUGCCGGGUAGCUAUGUUCGGAAAAGAUAACCGCUGAAAGCAUCUAAGCGGGAAACUUGCCUCAAGAUGAGAUCUCACUGGGAACUUGAUUCCCCUGAAGGGCCGUCGAAGACUACGACGUUGAUAGGCUGGGUGUGUAAGCGUUGUGAGGCGUUGAGCUAACCAGUACUAAUUGCCCGUGAGGCUUGACUAU
rnacentral:rRNA from 1 species